UGGUCAAGGCAUCAUUAUUCA
rnacentral:piRNA from 1 species